GCAGCACAUAUACUAAAAUCGGAAUGAUAAAGAGAAGGUUAGCAUGGGCCCUGCACAAGGAGGACACACAAACUCAGGAAACAUUUCAUAUUUUA
rnacentral:snRNA from 1 species